rnacentral:rRNA from 1 species
GAGGAAUAUUGGUCAAUGGGCGCAAGCCUGAACCAGCCAUCCCGCGUGAAGGAAGACGGCCCUAUGGGUUGUAAACUUCUUUUGUACAUGAAGAAAGGGACCUACGGGUAGGUUCGUGACGGUAAUGUACGAAUAAGCAUCGGCUAACUCCGUGCCAGCAGCCGCGGUAAUACGGAGGAUGCGAGCGUUAUCCGGAUUCAUUGGGUUUAAAGGGUACGUAGGUGGCCCGGUAAGUCAGUGGUGAAAACCUGCCGCUUAACGGUAGGCGUGCCAUUGAUACUGUCGGGCUUGAGUGCAGUUGAGGCAGGCGGAAUGUGUAGUGUAGCGGUGAAAUGCAUAGAUAUUACACAGAACUCCGAUUGCGAAGGCAGCUUGCUAAAGUGCAACUGACGCUGAUGUACGAAAGCGUGGGUAGCGAAC